rnacentral:rRNA from 1 species
CCUACGGGUGGCAGCAGUGGGGAAUAUUGGACAAUGGGCGAAAGCCUGAUCCAGCCAUGCCGCGUGUGUGAAGAAGGCCUUCGGGUUGUAAAGCACUUUCAGUGGGGAAGAAAGCCUUGGGGCUAAUACCCUCGAGGAAGGACAUCACCCACAGAAGAAGCACCGGCUAACUCCGUGCCAGCAGCCGCGGUAAUACGGAGGGUGCGAGCGUUAAUCGGAAUUACUGGGCGUAAAGCGCGCGUAGGCGGUCUGAUAAGCCGGUUGUGAAAGCCCCGGGCUCAACCUGGGAACGGCAUCCGGAACUGUCAGGCUAGAGUGCAGGAGAGGAAGGUAGAAUUCCCGGUGUAGCGGUGAAAUGCGUAGAGAUCGGGAGGAAUAACAGUGGCGAAGGCGGCCUUCUGGACUGACACUGACGCUGAGGUGCGAAAGCGUGGGUAGCAAACAGGAUUAGAUACCCUAGUAGUC